rnacentral:rRNA from 1 species
AUUGAACGCUGGCGGCAUGCCUUACACAUGCAAGUCGAACGGCAGCACGGGAGCAAUCCUGGUGGCGAGCGGCGAACGGGUGAGUAAAGUAUCGGAACGUGCCCAGUCGUGGGGGAUAACGUAGCGAAAGUUACGCUAAUACCGCAUACGAUCUACGGAUGAAAGCGGGGGAUCGCAAGACCUCGCGCGAUUGGAGCGGCUGAUAUCAGAUUAGGUAGUUGGUGGGGUAAAGGCUCACCAAGCCGACGAUCUGUAGCUGGUCUGAGAGGACGACCAGCCAAACUGGGACUGAGGCACGGCCCAGAGUCCUCCGGGAGGCAGCAGUGGGGAAUUUUGGACAAUGGGCGCAAGCCUGAUCCAGCCAUGCCGCGUGCAGGAUGAAGGCCUUCGGGUUGUAAACUGCUUUUGUACGGAACGAAAAGGUUUGGCCUAAUAAGCUGGACCCAUGACGGUACCGUAAGAAUAAGCACCGGCUAACUACGUGCCAGCCGCCGCCGUAA